rnacentral:rRNA from 1 species
UAGUCCUAGCAGUAAACGAUGGCUACUAGGUGUGGGGGUGUUGACCCCUCCUGUGCCGAAGCUAACGCAUUAAGUAGCCCGCCUGGGGAGUACGGUCGCAAGACUAAAACUCAAAGGAAUUGACGGGACCCGCACAAGCAGCGGAGCGUGUGGUUUAAUUCGAUGCAACGCGAAGAACCUUACCUGGGCUUGACAUUCUCUUGCAAGCCUGUGAAAACAGGCCCUCCCUUCGGGGGACAGGAGAACAGAUGUUGCAUGGCUGUCGUCAGCUCGUGUCGUGAGAUGUUGGGUUAAG